AACACAGGUGCUGCAUGGCUGUCGUCAGCUCGUGUCGUGAGAUGUUGGGUUAAGUCCCGCAACGAGCGCAACCCUUGUCAUUAGUUGCUACAUUCAGUUGGGCACUCUAAUGAGACUGCCGGUGACAAACCGGAGGAAGGUGGGGAUGACGUCAAGUCCUCAUGGCCCUUAUAGGUGGGGCUACACACGUCAUACAAUGGAUGGUACAAAGGGUCGCCAACCCGCGAGGGGGGAGCCAAUCCCAUAAAGCCAUUCGUAGUCCGGAUCGCAGUCUGCAACUCGACUGCGUGAAGUCGGAAUCGCUAGUAAUCGUGGAUCAGAAUGUCACGGUGAAUACGUUCCCGGGUCUU
rnacentral:rRNA from 1 species